rnacentral:tRNA from 1 species
UAGUUUUUAUUUUAUAGAAAAAAAUAUAGUAUUUGGGUUACUAAGAUCUUAAACUAA